AUUGAACGCUGGCGGCAUGCUUUACACAUGCAAGUCGAACGGUAACAGGCCGCAAGGUGCUGACGAGUGGCGAACGGGUGAGUAAUGCAUCGGAACGUGCCCAGUCGUGGGGGAUAACUACUCGAAAGAGUAGCUAAUACCGCAUACGAUCUAUGGAUGAAAGCGGGGGACCGUAAGGCCUCGCGCGAUUGGAGCGGCCGAUGUCAGAUUAGGUAGUUGGUGGGGUAAAGGCUCACCAAGUCAACGAUCUGUAGCUGGUCUGAGAGGACGACCAGCCACACUGGGACUGAGACACGGCCCAGACUCCUACGGGAGGCAGCAGUGGGGAAUUUUGGACAAAGGGCGCAAGCCUGAUCCAGCAAUGCCGCGUGCAGGAAGAAGGCCUUCGGGUUGUAAACUGCUUUUGUACGGAACGAAACGGCUCUGGUUAAUACCCGGGGCUAAUGACGGUACCGUAAGAAUAAGCACCGGCUAACUACGUG
rnacentral:rRNA from 1 species